UAGCGUUCAGACUCAACACUUUAUAACACACUGCUGUUUACCACGGUACAAAACCAACAAACACAAUGAAUCUCUUCAGCAGCUUCAUCUGGAUUCUGGCAGCUUUUAUUCCAGCAGCAUCCAGAGGAAUCACUGUGACUCAGCCUGAAGCUGUGACUGUUUCUGAAGGACAAGACGCCGCUAUAGAGUGUAAAACUGAUGCUGGAAUAUAUAGCUGGGGUUUAGCUUGGUAUCAGCAGAAACCUGGAGAGGCUCCUAAACUCAUCAUUUAUCAGGUAGAUGAACGGUAUGGUAACAGUUUCAGUCGAUUCAGUGGGAAUGGAGCAGAAGGUGGAACUGAUUUCAUUCUGAGCAUCAGUGGAGUCCAGACUGAAGAUGCUGGACAUUAUUACUGUCAGAGUUUCAACAGUGUUAAUGUGUUCACACAGUGAUAAAGAGUGGUACAAAAACCUCGGUCAGUCAGAGUCACAGAGACUGAACUGAUGCUGCAGCUGCUUAAAGGAGGAUCUGAAACUCUGUUGUUUUUGCUCUUUCUCCUCAUAUUCUGACUCUCUGUAGGGAGAAGAGAAAUGCUGGAAACUGGACUGAUUGAAUCUGCACAGCUUUGAGGAUUUGAUUUGAUUCGUUGUGCUCUUAUAGAUCCGUCACAUGAUGGAGAUUGAAGCUCAACAUCUGUCUCACAAACACAUGCAGCUGUUUUCAGUCACGCAGCUACAGCUGCUAUAAUGAAUGAUGAAAGACAAAACUCUAGGCUACUUAAAUUCAACACAGAAACUCAGUUCAAUAACAUAUUUCAUUUCAUGAAUGAUAUGUAAACAUUGUUUCACAGCUUUUCAAACUGUCUCUUUCAGGUCGGUUCAGCAAAUGCUUCACAUAAAGAUCAGACAGUGGCUCUGCUGGUUUAUGAUCCUAAAACCCUCAUAUUGUGUGUCAGAGUUUCUCCAUCGACUGUAAAACCAGCGAUCCAUCUCAGUUACUGUACACUACUGUUGAAAUGUUUGGGAUCAUCCUUACACAAAUGUAAUAUAUGCAUGUAAAUUUGUUAAAUUUCUAUACACAUAUGUAUGUUUAUGUAUGUUAAAAACAUUUUUGGACGUAUGUGUCAAUUUACGUGCAUAUCCAUUCUAAAAACUUAUACAUGAAGAUAUUAUAUAAGC